GAUGAAGAACGCAGCGAAAUGCGAUAAGUAAUGUGAAUUGCAGAAUUCAGUGAAUCAUCGAAUCUUUGAACGCACAUUGCGCCCGCCAGUAUUCUGGCGGCAUGCCUGUCUGAGCGUCAUUUCAACCCUCAUGCCCCUAGGGCGUGGUGUUGGGGAUCGGCCAAAGCCCGCGAGGGACGGCCGGCCCCUAAAUCUAGUGGCGGACCCGUCGUGGCCUCCUCUGCGAAGUAGUGAUAUUCCGCAUCGGAGAGCGACGAGCCCCUGCCGUUAAACCCCCAACUUUCCAAGGUUGACCUCAGAUCAGGUAGGAAUACCCGCUGAACUUAAGCAUAUCAAUAAGCGGAGGA
rnacentral:misc_RNA from 1 species